rnacentral:rRNA from 1 species
AUGCAAGUCGAACGGAGUUGAGGGGCUUGCUCCUCAAUUUAGUGGCGCACGGGUGAGUAACGCGUAGAUAAUCUGCCUGAUGAUCUGGGAUAACACUUCGAAAGGGGUGCUAAUACCGGAUAAGCCCACGAUGUCUUUGGACGUUGCGGGAAAAGGGGGGGACUUUCGGGCCUCCUGUCUUCGGAUGAGUCCGCGUACCAUUAGCUAGUUGGUAGGGUAAUAGCCUACCAAGGCGACGAUGGUUAGCUGGUCUGAGAGGAUGAUCAGCCACACUGGAACUGAGACACGGUCCAGACUCCUACGGGAGGCAGCAGUGGGGAAUUUUGCGCAAUGGGGGAAACCCUGACGCAGCAACGCCGCGUGGGUGAUGAAGGCCUUCGGGUCGUAAAGCCCUGUCGGGAGGGAAGAAAUGAUUGUGAGCUAAUACCUCAUGAUCUUGACGGUACCUCCGAAGGAAGCACCGGCUAACUCCGUGCCAGCAGCCGCGGUAAUACGGAGGGUGCGAGCGUUGUUCGGAAUUAUUGGGCGUAAAGCGCGUGUAGGCGGUUUGUUAAGUCUGAUGUGAAAGCCCCGGGCUCAACCUGGGAAGUGCAUUGGAUACUGGCAGACUUGAAUACGGGAGAGGGCAGUGGAAUUCCUGGUGUAGGAGUGAAAUCCGUAGAUAUCAGGAGGAACACCGGUGGCGAAGGCGGCUGCCUGGACCGAUAUUGACGCUGAGACGCGAAAGCGUGG